AUUAAAAAUUAUAUUUUUUUUAUCAGGAUUAGUAGAUAAUCCAGGCAACAAAGAAUUUGAUUGGCAACAAUAUCUUAAUUUUUGUAAAGCGGAAGUUGCACCUUGCGAACUGUUCAAAGGAAAAUUUAUCAACUUAGGAUUGGAACCAGGAAUGAAAUUAGAA